UACAGAGGGGGCAAGCGUUGUUCGGAAUUACUGGGCGUAAAGGGCGCGUAGGCGGCCUACUAAGUCGAACGUGAAAUCCCCGGGCUCAACCCGGGAACUGCGUCCGAUACUGGUGGGCUUGAAUUCGGGAGAGGGAUGUGGAAUUCCAGGUGUAGCGGUGAAAUGCGUAGAUAUCAGGAGGAACACCGAUGGCGAAGGCAGGUCUCUGGGCCGAUACUGACGCUGAGGAGCGAAAGCGUGGGGAGCGAACAGG
rnacentral:rRNA from 1 species